UUGGGUUAAAAUUUUAUUAUUUGAAAGCCCAUUUAUCAUCUUUAAAGCCCAAUUAUUAUUAUAAGUCCAUAUGUCUUUCUUUAAUUAAAAUGAGAUGUUACGUGGUUCAGUUUUUCCUUAGCCACAUAUUCGGAUUUAAUCACCUUCAGUCACCUAAUUUUAUUCAGCCACGUAUCACUCACUGCUAUCACAUUUAAAAUUCACCCAAAUAACUUGCUAGGUUUCAUUUCAUCAAAAUUUUCCAGAGCACAAAUUUCAUUCAAGUUAACAGACUUCUCAUUUCUGAUAUUUCCUUCACAAAACUUCAGCCGGUAAUUUUAUUGUUUCUGUGAGAUUUCAUGUUUUAAUUCAUCACAGCAAAUUACUACGUUUUUCUUUCAUUCUCAUUUAUUUUGUGAAACAACAAGCCCAUUUAUUUAUCAUACAUUACAAGCCCAUAUAUAUAUUAUUAACGUGUAAAUAAAUUUUUACGAAAAUGACUUCAGCUACAUAUCCACAUUUACUCAGCUUCAGCCAUAUAUCACUGUAGUACCUUUCCGUCAGAUUUGAUCAAAACUACAGCAAAACUUUGAUUUCAAAACUUUGAUUUCAAAAGCAGCAUGCAGCAGCAAAACUUUGAUCAAACUUUGAUUUCUUUCUUUCACACGUUUAUGUUCAAACAAGUAAAUUCAAUCUAUUUAAACCUCAUUUAUCAUCCUCAAAUUCACAAAUCAACUCAUCCUCAAAUUCACAAAUCCAACAAAAACUCAACUUUUAUAAUCCAUCCGGUUUUCUUCAACUGUACAAUUUCAACUGGUGCGGCGCGACUAGGACGUGAACUUUAAAUUCUUGCUGUUAAUUUUCAAAACUCAAAAGUUCAAGUUUCAGGUGUGGGAUUUAUUUCAGUACAUGCACGUGGUUAAUAUUUGUCCAUUUUAAUAUUAUGUGUUUACCGUAUGUGUUGUAAAAAUAUUUAUCGCUAGGGGCCAGCAUAAUUGGUCCAGGACUUCACCGUCCUUGGUAUGCCACAAUGCGAUUUCAUGUUACAGGGUUGCAACCAUUAUAUUGUCGCCAGGGGCCCACAUAUAGGGUCCGGGACAUUAAAGUCCUUGGAUUGCCACAGUGCGUAUGGAAUUUAUGUUACAUUAUGACAAUAUGUGUUACCAUUUUAUUAACAUGGACAAUUAUUGCAUGUUCCCACACUGAGUGUACCCUGUAUGCUCAUCCCAUAUUCAACAGUUUCAGGUGAUUGAUAUCGGAGGCGCGUGGAGAGUCGAAUGGGCGCGUCAAAUCUAUUUAAAGAUAAAUGUUUCUUAAAACAUAUUAUGUUAUUUCAUGUGAUAUCUUUUGGUUAUGUAAACUCUGAAAUUCUAUACUAUUUGAGAUUUGUGUGUGAUUUAUUUAAAUAAAUGUUGUUAUAUUAUUUUAA